GCGCCCGGGUGGCGAGGUCACAGCCACCGAGUGGGACGGAGAGCGGCAGCCGGAUGUGCGCAGCGGCCCUGCGGGGCCAUUCGGUUGGGACGUGCGCCUGGAGGACGCCACACGGCACAGGCUUUUUUCAGUCCCACGCUGCCUCCGGCUUGUGGCGGGCUCCUGCCACCUCUCCCCGCGCGCGUACAGCCGCGUCCUCGUGGGGAAGGAGAGCAAGCCUACGCCGGGGCAUGGCUUGGGCUAGACCUUGGGCGACCGUGCGGUGGAACCGCGCCUUUCCCUGCGCAGCUGCAGGCUCGUGGAACCUCCUGCACACCGGAUCCAUCUUCUCCCGCUUCCCCGGCACUCCGGGGUCCUCUAGUUCGGGCGGGCUCUUUAAUCCCAGCCGGACCAUCCCUACCCCGCACACCCUGGAGCCCGUGGCACCAUGCGCCCCUCCCGAGGGGACCGCGCCCCCGUCCGCAGGGCGGAACCUCGGGGCUGCCUGGAUGCUGAGAGCCGGCCCGGGCCGUCAGCUGCUUCUCCGCCUUCCCUCGCCCGGCGCCGGUGUCCCCUCACCCCCGUCUGACUCUUCCUCCCUUUUGCCUCCCCAAGGGCGCCGGAUUUUCUUUUUCCACUGGAUCUUUACUUCAGCAAACGGGCUGUGAUUUCUUCCGUAUGCAAAUAAGACAAACUCCUUGAGUCCCUCACGGCUACCAUCACCUCUCCUCGCUGUCCGGUUUCUCUGCCUUUCUCUGUUGAGCCCACACCUGUUCAGCCCGCGCCUGGCGCUGCACUCACCCACCUACAGAAUCCAAGGACCAGUCUUCAGCCCUCCCGCAGCUGCCCGAGUCCCGUCCUGUCCAAGCUCCAUUUUGCCUACACCCUGGGGCACUUCGCCCCCCCACCACCUCUUUAUGCCCCCUCCCCAGGGCCACGUCCUUGGGCCUCUUCCCCACCUACACCCUGUCCUUUGUGACCUUAUCCAAUCAGGGCUGUGAAAACCAGCCAGGCAGCUCCAGGUGCCCAUGUCCAGCUGCCCUGGGCAUCUCCGCUUGGAGAACAGACUUCCCAAGGUCCACAUACACAUGCAGUGCCACCGGCACCCGAAGCUCCCCACGCGUCUUGGCAACCUCUCCCUCUGGCCCCUCGUGGGCGCCUCCCCCCAAGACAAGCACCAAUCUCCUUUCUGUUGCUGGUUGAUUUUCUACAGUCUUACGUAAGUGGACUCAUGCGAUAUACUGUAUUUUGUCUGUCUUCUUUGAGUUAGUGAAAUUCCUUUGAGAUUUGUCUGUUGCUGGGCGCGUUCCUUUUUAUUGUUAAGUAGUGUUUCGUUACUUAUCACAGCAGAUUUUGCUUUACCCACAUAUAUUAAGCAAAGCAGGUAUAGAUCACAAGUAUUCAAAUUCCAAGUCACUUAAAAGCAUUUUGUACAUUAAUGACAAGGGUUAUCAUACAAGUGGUCUUUUUAAAAACUCUUGCACAGAAAAACCAGUUUGUUUACACGUUCACUUGUUGGUAGACACUGGGGUCACUUCCAGUAUCUGGCGCUUACAAAUAAAGCUGUGCUGAAUGUUCACAUACAAGCCUCUGUGUGGACAUGUGCUUUUGUUUGGGCUUUUCCCAUCCUUACUUAACAUCCCGUGGUCUUUCUCCUGGCUUCCUGAAUCUUUGCGGUCAUUCGGAUGACCUGUAAUGCCCUUGUCUACUGACUCAAUCAUCUGUCUCAUUUCUGGUGCAGUUCUGAUAGAUUGAUUCUCCCCCCUUUAUUAUGAGUUGAAUCUUCUUGCUCCUUUGAGUUUAUGGUACUUUUUAUUGGAUGCCAGAUACCGCAGAUUCUAUAAUGUUGGGUCAUUGAGGGUUUUUUUUUUAUAUGUUUUUGAGCUUUGUUCUGGAAUGCAGUUAAGUUACUUGGAAAUAAUUUGAUCCUUUUGGCUCUCCCUUUUAAGUUUUGUUAGGUGGGCUCAGAAGACUCCUUGGUCUAGAUAAACUUGACCCUACUACUAAG